rnacentral:rRNA from 1 species
UGGGGAAUAUUGGACAAUGGGGGGAACCCUGAUCCAGCCAUGCCGCGUGUGUGAAGAAGGCCUUAUGGUUGUAAAGCACUUUAAGCGAGGAGGAGGGUACUGGUAUUAAUACUACCAGCUACUGGACGUUACUCGCAGAAUAAGCACCGGCUAACUCUGUGCCAGCAGCCGCGGUAAUACAGAGGGUGCGAGCGUUAAUCGGAAUUACUGGGCGUAAAGCGCGCGUAGGUGGUUCGUUAAGUUGAAUGUGAAAGCCCCGGGCUCAACCUGGGAACUGCAUCCAAAACUGGCGAGCUAGAGUAGGGCAGAGGGUGGUGGAAUUUCCUGUGUAGCGGUGAAAUGCGUAGAUAUAGGAAGGAACACCAGUGGCGAAGGCGACCACCUGGGCUCAUACUGACACUGAGGUGCGAAAGCGUGGGGAGCAAACAGG